GAGGAAAUUACAUACGGAGUAAUAAUUUACCCAAAUUAUCAAAUUAAGGCGGAUAAAAGUGAAAAUUGAAGGCAUGAAGCCCGCAUCACUUACACUUUCAUGAGUUUCAUCAAAAAGUGAAACCUUUUUCUCAUUUAUCAGCAAAAAAAAAAAAAGUGAAACCUCCAUCAAACCUCCUUAGCAAAACCUUCAUCACCGCUUAUUGUUUAGCUCCACUGCCGCUCUACUGCUGCUCCACCACCGCUCUACCGCUGCUCCACCGCCGCUCUAUCGCCGCUCCACUUCUGCAGUACCGGACCUGUCUGCUGAGCCACAAGUAAAUUGAGUGAAGGAGAUGGAGAUGGUUUAGGCUGUGCUGGCGCCACUCCUGCUGGAUGGAAAGGGGGCCGCUAUGCAGGUGGCUGAGAUGGUACUUGGGUCUCUUGGCUGGGACGUGGAGCAACAGGUGCUUGCUGAGGUGUAUUUUAAGCAAGUUCCUCCUACAUAUUCUCAACAAAUGAUCGAGGAGCUUAGGGAAAGGUGGAUUGCAUAUGUUUCCGGAAACCAUCAACCAAAUGACAACGACGAUGAUAUAUGUGAAUUGUAGAUCAAUAUGGUAUUGAUAUAUUUAAGCAUAAUUUUUAUUAAAUCAACAUUAAUUAGAAAGGUGUUUUGAUAUUUAACUCACGGAUUUGUUUGUAUAAUUUUUUUUUGUAUGAAUGAUUCAAUUUAAUUGUGGCUGGAUGUUUUAAUUUUAUAUAUGAGGUAUAUUUUGAUUGCUUUUGUCGUA